ACGUAGGCAGCAAGCGUUGUUCGGAGUUACUGGGCGUAAAGGGUGCGUAGGCGGCUUUUUAAGUUUGGUGUGAAAUCUCCCGGCUCAACCGGGAGGGUGCGCCGAAUACUGAGAGGCUAGAGUGCGGGAGAGGAAAGUGGAAUUCCUGGUGUAGCGGUGAAAUGCGUAGAUAUCGGGAGGAACACCUGUGGCGAAAGCGGCGCACUGGACCACAACUGACGCUGAGGCGCGAAAGCUAGGGGAGCAAACAGGA
rnacentral:rRNA from 1 species